CGUGGUAUAAUUCUCAAACACGUAGCCCAAAGCAGAUAACUCGUAAGCUGGAGAGGAAAUGGCGUGUCACAAAUUUAGAGGAUCAUCAUUUAGCCUGGAGAAAUAGUUUGCUGCUUUAUAAGAAAGCCCUCCGCAAAGCCAGAUUCUUACUCUGGAUGGCAUUACCUUGGCCUCCAGUAACACUGUGAGGAACCUUGGAGUCAUUUUUGACCAGGACAUGUCCUUCAACGCACAUAUUAAACAAAUAUGUAAGACUGCUUUCUUCCAUUUGCGCAACAUCUCUAAAAUUAGAAAUAUCCUGUCUCAGAGUGACGCUGAAAAACUAGUUCAUGCAUUUAUUACUUCCAGGCUGGACUACUGUAAUUCAUUAUUAUCAGGAUGUCCUAAAAACUCCCUGAAAAGUCUUCAGUUAAUCCAAAAUGCUGCAGCAAGAGUCCUGACAGGGACUAGAAAGAGAGCAGAUUUCUGUUAGGUGUAGGCUGUGUGCAGGCAGGAAAAGGACCCAAAGUGCAGACUCCGGAGACAAACGUGAACUUAAACAGCUUUAAUGCUGAACUCAAAAAAGGGUAACGAAACUUCCAAAGUACAAACAUUAACACAGGCCGGAAAACAAAACACACAGCAUGAGUGAGGGUAGAUAAGAGUAGAUCGCGACAAUGACAAACUGAAACACAGGGCUUAAAUACAUAGAGGGAGCAAUCAGGGAAUGGGCAACAGGAGGGAAACACAGCUGGGGCAAAUCAGGACUAACGAGACAAGGAAAGCAAAACCAGAUACACUAACAUGAAACACGGACUUUCAAAGUAAAACAGGAAACAUAACACAGAGACGCAAACUUAACAAGGGGAUACAGCUGACAGGGGAGACAGAGCAACUAUAGAACACAGAGACAAAUCAUAAGACAGAACUAAGAAACCCAAAGACUAGAAAUGAUAAAUAAUAUAAUAAACUCAAAAGCCCUGGGUCAACGACCCAGGCAUCCUAACAGUACCCCCCCCUAAAGGGCUGGCUCCCAGACAGCCCAAACCAAAACACCAAAACAAAAAACAACCCAACCAGGGCGGGCGGUGGGGGUCCAGGACGGAGGGCUCGAAACAAACCAAACACAACCCAGAGACCAAAAACAGAAAACACUGGAGCCCAGAAAACAACCAAACAAAACCAGGCACACGACAGUGCCAAAAAAAAAAAAGUUCAGGGGGCCGGCCCGGAGGCUGACGGCACCAAAGUCCAAACCUGGGUCGUUCAGGAGGCCGGCCGUGCGAAAAGCAACGGCGGCGAGGCAAGCGAAGAAGGUCCGGAGGCCGGCCACGCAGAGGGCAGCGGCGGUGAGCCAGGCGAAGGAGGUCUGGAGGCCGACGGCCCAAGAGCCCAGAAAACAGGUCAGGGGGCCGGCCGGGCGCGAGGCACCGGCGGCGACGGAGCAGGUCAGGAGGCCGGCCGGGCGGGAGGCACCGGCAGCGACGGAGUUCAGGGGGCCGUCCACGACGGUGAUGACAGUCCGCCAUCAGCCUGGAAAGUGGCCGGACAGGACGAGGACGUGCAGGCUGAGCAGGGCGAGGACGUCCAAUCAGAGGCCUGGAAGGAGGCCGGACAGGACGAGCAGGCCGGAUAGGACGAGCAGGCCGAGCAGGACCAGACGGCAUGGAGACCUCAGGCGCAGACGAAGCUAGACGGAGCGAGGCAGGACCAGGCGACACUGAAGGCGAAGACACGGAGGCCAGACCAGGCGAAACAGAGGCUGAAGCCGGACCAGGCGAAGCUGAAGACACGGAGGCUGGACCAGACGAGGGUGAAGACUCGGAGGCUGGACCAGACGAGGGUGACGCUGCAGGUGACGCUGAAGCUGGACCAGACGAAGGCGGAGCUGAAGCCGUAGCUGGACCAGGCGAGGACGAAGCCGUAGCCGUAGCUGGACCAGGCGAGGACGAAGCCGUAGCCGUAGCUGGACCAGGCGAGGACGAAGCUGCAGGUGACGGCGUGGGAGCCGCAGGUGGUGGCACUGCAGGCGACGGCAUGGGAGCCGCAGGUGGUGGCACUGCAGGCGACGGCGUGGGAGCCGCAGGUGGUGGCGAUGAAGGCUGGACGGGCCCCUCGGACCCUCCAGCGGAGGCAGAAGGCUGGACGGGCCCCUCGGACCCUCCAGUGGAGACGAACAAAGGCUGGUGCGGGUCUCCAGAACCCCCAGCGGGAACAGAAGGCUGGACGGGCCCCUCGGACCCUCCAGCGGAGGCAGAAGGCUGGACGGGCCCCUCAGACCCUCCAGUUGAGACGAACAAAGGCUGGUGCGGGUCUCCAGAACCCCCAGCGGGAACAGAAGGCUGGACGGGCCCCUCGGACCCUCCAGCGGAGGCAGAAGGCUGGACGGGCCCCUCAGACCCUCCAGCGGAGACGAACAAAGGCUGGUGUGGUUCUCCAGAACCCCCAGCGGGAACAGAAGGCUGGACGGGCCCCUCGGACCCUCCAGCGGAGACAAACAAAGGCUGGUGCGGUUCUCCAGAACCCCCAGCGGGAACAGAAGGCUGGACGGGCCCCUCGGACCCUCCAGCGGAGACGAACAAAGGCUGGCGCGGUUCUCCAGAACCCCCAGUGGGAACAGAAGGCUGGACGGGCCCCUCGGACCCUCCAGUGGAGACGAACAAAGGCUGGUGCGGUUCUCCAGAAUCCCCAGCGGGAACAGAAGGCUGAGGUGAGAGGCGAGCUAAUGUUUGAGCUAUGGAUAGAAGUUGAAGUUCUAUUGACUGUUGUAACGAUGGUAGCAAUGGUGGGUUAGGUGGUGGAUUAGCAGGUAGCUGAGCUAAUUCUCCUGAGCCUCCAGAAAACGAGAAAAACGGCUGGACGGGCUCACCAGAGCCUCCAGCAAGGUCAGGAAUGGGUGCACGAGCCUGCUGGGCACUAGCCGCUCCCAUCUGAGGAGUAGGUAUGGGUGCAGAGGUAGGCUGUGUCCUGGCAAGCCUCACGCUGGAAACCGGAACAGGCGACGGCUGGGCAGCUGCUGUCCCCACCCAAGGAACAGGUACGGGUGCAGGGACUAGCAGAGCCUCAGCUGGCCUGGAAACUGGAGCAGGGAUCAACUGGCCCCUGGCCCCCCUCACCCGAGGAACUGAUACAGGUGAAGGGGAUGGCUGGACCGCAGCUGCCUUGGGAGCAGGAGCACAGGAAGGCAGAGGAGCAGGCCCAGCAGAGACAGAGUGGCGACGGUGUGAGUGUCGCUUUCUCCGGGAAGUGGGAGGUGGCAAACUGGGCUGCGAAUCCUCAAAAGGACCAGGCUGCGAUGAGGAAGCAGAGAGUUUGUGAAGUUCAGAACGUGGCAGACCCAUAAACAGAGCGAAGGACUGCAGCGGAGUGAGUCUAAUGUCCGGCGUCAUGUAAUGCUUCUUCCUCCGCUGCUUAACCCUCUUGUCGGACUGGAAAACCUGGGGUGGAGACGAAGGUGUAGUGAUUGGAGAUAAUGAGCAUGUGCUCAAUCUGAUAGACCGAGGCAUAGGUGCCGGCUCAGCCGUAGUCAUGGCAGUUUGGAGGCUGUGGGGCCCUCCCCAAGCCAAACAUGACCCAUAGAAGGGUGACUCGAGCUCCCGGGCAUGCUUAGCCUCCUGCCUCACCCUCUCUUUGAGGAAGGCAGAAACUGCAGGUCUCCGAUACCACACAGAGUCUGCUGGGUCCAUGUUCUGGUCGCGAUCUUCUGUUAGGUGUAGGCUGUGUGCAGGCAGGAAAAGGACCCAAAGUGCAGACUCCGGAGACAAACGUGAACUUAAACAGCUUUAAUGCUGAACUCAAAAAACGGUAACGAAACUUCCAAAGUACAAACAUUAACACAGGCCGGAAAACAAAACACACAGCAUGAGUGAGGGUAGAUAAGAGUAGAUCGCGACAAUGACAAACUGAAACACAGGGCUUAAAUACAUAGAGGGAGCAAUCAGGGAAUGGGCAACAGGAGGGAAACACAGCUGGGGCAAAUCAGGACUAACGAGACAAGGAAAGCAAAACCAGAUACACUAACAUGAAACACGGACUUUCAAAGUAAAACAGGAAACAUAACACAGAGACGCAAACUUAACAAGGGGAUACAGCUGACAGGGGAGACAGAGCAACUAUAGAACACAGAGACAAACCAUAAGACAGAACUCUAAGAAACCCAAAGACUAGAAAUGAUAAAUAAUAUAAUAAACUCAAAAGCCCUGGGUCAACGACCCAGGCAUCCUAACAAUUUCUCCUGUUUUGGCUUCCCUUCAUUGGCUUCCUGUUAAAUCCAGAAUUGAAUUCAAAAUCCUGCUCCUCACAUACAAGGUCUUAAAUAAUCAGGCCCCAUCUUAUCUUAAUGACCUUGUAGUACCAUAUCACCCUAUUAGAGCACUUCGCUCUCGCUCUGCAGGCCUACUUGUUGUUCCUAGAGUAUUUAAAAGUAGAAUGGGAGGCAGAGCCUUCAGUUUUCAGGCCCCUCUUCUGUGGAACCAGCUUCCAGUUUGGAUUCGGGAGACAGACACUAUCUCUACUUUCAAGAUUAGGCUUCAAACUUUCCUUUUUGCUAAAGCAUAUAGUUAGGGCUGGACCAGGUGACCCUGAAUCCUCCCUUAGUUAUGCUGCAAUAGACGUAGGCUGCCGGGGAUUCCCAUGAUGCAUUGGGUGUUUCUUCUUCACUCACUAUGUGUUAAUAGACCUCUCUGCAUCGAAUCAUAUCUGUUAUUAAUUUCUGUCUCUCUUCCACAGCAUGUCUUUAUCCUGUCUUCCUUCUCUCACCCCAACCAAUCACAGCAGAUGGCCCCGCCCCUCCCUGAGCCUGGUUCUGCUGGAGGUUUCUUCCUGUUAAAAGGGAGUUUUUCCUUCCCACUGUCGCCAAAGUGCUUGCUCAUAGGGGGUCAUAUGAUUGUUGGGUUUUUCUCUGUAUGUAUUAUUGUAGGGUCUGCCUUACAAUAUAAAGCGCCUUGAGGCGACUGUUGUUGUGAUUUGGCGCUGUGUAAAUAAAAUUGAAGUUGAAAUCUGAAGGACGGCCAUGUAACACUGUCAGGACUAGGAAUGGGUAUCGAAACCCGGUUCUUGUUGAGAACCGGUUCCCACUGUUUCAAUUCCUUGGAAUUGUUUGCCAUUUUUGCAAACGAUUCCCUUAUCGAUUCCAGUCGCCCCGAAUGACGUCACCACGUUGCGGAGCGUCAUUUACCUGGCAGGAAACAUGGCAGCUCAAACGCUCAAAAGUUUGGUUAUACUUUACAAGAACAGAUGACAACAGGGCAACUUGCAAUACUUGCAAAGUAGAUAUUUCAUUUAAAGGAGGAAACACUACGAAUAUGCAAAAGCAUUUGCUCACAAAACACACGAUGACCUUAAAUGAAUGUCGUGUUUUUAAUUCCGCUCCGGACUCGUGAAUCUCAACCCAGCAGCAGCGGUAACGUUUGCACGUCCUCUCCCAUUAAUGCGGCAGGUAAAUAAUCAACUAACAGUGCAUAUUAUGUUAGCGCGAUCUGCUUUAUUACAAAACCUGCCAUUACUAUGCAUUUAGGUCAGCGGUCCCCAACCUUUUUUGCGCCACGGACCGGUUUAUGCCCGACAAUAUUUUCACGGACCGGCUUUUAAGGUGUCGCGGAUAAAUACAACAAAAUAAAACCAGUACCGGUACCGAAAAAAAGAAGAUUUAUUCACAACACACGUGAAAAGACCCAGGAAAACCGAGUUAACGAUAAAAACGAUAACAAAAUAACGCUGAAAACCGAUAAAAACCCUGAAAACAAUGCAUUUCACACCCGAGCCUCAACUCUCGCGGCCCGGUACCAAACGACUCACGGACCGGUACCGGUCCGAGGCCCGGGGGUUGGGGACCGCUGAUUUAGGUGACCAUGAUGAUACAGACAGAGUCUGACUGGCGCUCGCUGGCAUUUCUCGCUGCAGUCUACCGGUAGCGUCUCCUUUCAGGCCAGGAUAGACGAAUGUCACCGAGCAGUGACUAAGUUUGUGGUCAAAACCUUGCACCCAUUUGCCCCGAUUUUCGGUAAGUGAAUGUGUUUAAUUGUAGGCAGGGACAUUACUGGAUAUUCUUGUGUAAUUGCUACAGAAUAAUUUGUUAUACUUUGUUAUUGCUACAGAAGAAUAUUUAUUUUAUUGUUUUACAUUUACAAUGUUUUUUUCCCGGGGACCCUGUGACACCCCAUUGAAGAGCCGUAGGCUGUGGAUCUCUUAAGAUCUCACUGUUGGGUUUAUAAGGCCAUGUUACUCCUAAAUUUCUAUCUUGUUCAAAGAGAAGUUAUAAAACAAAGUUCUAAGCUAAUCGACCUUAGUGUUCUCCUUUUUAAAAAUAAGAAUCGAAAAUGGAAUCGGAAUCGUGAAAAUCUUAUCAAUACCCAUCCCUAGUCAGGACAGUGAUGGCAGUAUCAGUGGUCAUCUCUGUCAUAACGUUCAUCAAACAUUCACUGCAGGAUGAUCCAGUAAGGUCUUGGAGGCGUCUGUGCCUUUACAGGAUUUCGACUCAGUGAAGUGUUUGCUGAAUCAGAAAGUGCCUGAUUUUUAUUGGCUUUUAAUGAUUUUUAAUGAUUUUUAAUGGCUUAAUUUUAAAAAUGUUCCAGAACUAACUGGAACAGUGUGAACAUCCAUCGGGGGACAGAUGUACAACAAUCAUACUUCUGAUUAGGCUCAAACAAGCACUGAGUUUAACAAAAUAUCUAAGAAAGUGCUAAUGUCACAACAUUUUACAGCCCCGCCUGUCUAAUACCACCUCCACCAGCACUCCCACUCUGGCAGAUACUGGGGUUUGCUGAUGUGCUGCACUCACCAGCACCAUCUCUGUCCAUCUCUGUGGUGCUGUUGAUGCUUUGGUUGGAGCGAGGGUUGGUGAUGCGGCAGGUCACAGACACCAGCUCCUUCACACUGACGGAGCUCCUUACAGUGAAGGUUCCAUCCUUUGCGUCCCUCUCGUGGGUCGGUUUGUAUUCAUGCAGGUCCACAUAUUCACCACUGGUCGUGUUUUGACCCGACCAUGACACGCUGGAUUCAGGGUAUCCUCCACGCGCUGUGCAGGUCGCAGUGUCUGCUGUGUCAAUGGUCAGGUUUAUACCUCUGUAAGGAGCUUUGACAGAGGUGAACACUGUUUACACACCACAGACAGUCAGAGCACAUCAGCACAAACACUUCAUGCCAGAAACAAGAACAUGAUAGUCAGAGCUGUGUGAAAAGUCUCAGAGAGCCCGUGGAGACGUAUUCGAUCUGGAAGUAAGAAGAUAUCUUCCUUACCUGAAACCUGCAGUGUUGAGUUGCAGCAGCGCUCACAUCUGUCUUUGAAGGAAGCCAUGACCCAGAACGACUUCUGGUCAUCUGCAGCUGUAACACUGUGAAGUUUAAUGGAGAUGUUCCCCGAUCCAAACUCAGAAGCAAAGACUGUAACUCUGUUCCUGUAGACUUCAGUUGUUGUAUCACAAGUUUGAUCACAAUGAAUCAAAAUGUUUUCAGUCUCGUCCUCCUGCCAGUAAAACCACUUCAGGCUUAGUGGAGCUGGGAGUUUACAGGGAACCAGCACAGAGCCUCCAACAGUGGCACCGAGGAGCUCCGCUCGCUGACCCGAGAUGAGG
ensembl:lncRNA